rnacentral:lncRNA from 10 species
ACAGAAGUCCACUCAUUCUUGGCAGGAUGGCUUCUCAUCGUCUGCUCCUCCUCUGCCUUGCUGGACUGGUAUUUGUGUCUGAGGCUGGCCCUACGGGCACCGGUGAAUCCAAGUGUCCUCUGAUGGUCAAAGUUCUAGAUGCUGUCCGAGGCAGUCCUGCCAUCAAUGUGGCCGUGCAUGUGUUCAGAAAGGCUGCUGAUGACACCUGGGAGCCAUUUGCCUCUGGGUAAGUUGCCAAAGAACCCUCCCACAGGACUUGGUUUUAUCUUCCCGUUUGCCCCUCACUUGGUAGAGAGAGGCUCACAUCAUCUGCUAAAGAAUUUACAAGUAGAUUGAAAAACGUAGGCAGAGGUCAAGUAUGCCCUCUGAAGGAUGCCCUCUUUUUGUUUUGCUUAGCUAGGAAGUGACCAGGAACCUGAGCAUCAUUUAGGGGCAGACAGUAGAGAAAAGAAGGAAUCAGAACUCCUCUCCUCUAGCUGUGGUUUGCAACCCUUUUGGGUCACAGAACACUUUAUGUAGGUGAUGAAAAGUAAACAUUCUAUGCCCAGAAAAAAUGCACAGAUACACACACAUACAAAAUCAUAUAUGUGAUUUUAGGAGUUUCACAGAUUCCCUGGUGUCCCUGGGUAACACCAAAGCUAAGUGUCCUUGUCUUAGAAUUUUAGGAAAAGGUAUAAUGUGUAUUAACCCAUUAACAAAAGGAAAGGAAUUCAGAAAUAUUAUUAACCAGGCAUCUGUCUGUAGU